ACCAAGGAACAUUAAUAUAAUGAUUUUAUUACAAUAUAAAAAGCAAUGCCAUAUAGUUGAAUAUACCACCUUGAUCAAAAAUCAAGGACUUUAUUCAUAAAAUUUAAAAGUAUAGCAUAUUGUUUAAAAUCAACUUUGUAAGAUUCAAAAAACUCCUCGGUGAGUACAAUGCAUUUAUUUAAAUGCUUAAAAAUAUUUUUCAACCAUUUCUUAUACAGGAUUUUCCAAUAAGAGUGAUAUGAUAAAAAAAAACCCCUCGUAAGAUCAAUGUCAAAAUUGACUUCUUGAAGAAAUCUGGUUUUUUGCUAAAGACCAAUGAGUUCAACUUACCUCACAAAAAGUAGUCGAAUGGUAUUAAAUCGCAACUAUUGGAGGCCAUUCAAUGUCACAAUUUCUGAAUUUAGCUAGUCGCCAAACUUUUCACGCAAUAAUUCGGUUGUUGCUGUGUGGCACGUAGCCCCGUCUUGUUGGAACCAGAUGUUGUCAAGAUCAACUUUUUCCAAUUGCGGCUGUUAUCAUCAAUUGAUGAUGUUAUCAUCGAUCCAUACCGCUCUCCAUUGAUAGUAACGGUAUCUCCAGCUUCAUUUCGAAAGAAGUACGAACCGAUGAUUCCACCAAAUCAAAAAACACACCAAAAUGUCAAUUUAGGUGCAUGUAACGGUUGUUAAUGAAUAAUUUGUGGAUUUUCUACACACCAGAAUCAACUGUUUUGUUUAUUUUCUUUUCUACGCAGAUGAAACUUAGCCUCAUCGGGGAAGACUAUAAAAUGGUAAAGGCGAACGAAGAGUUGCAAUUGGAGAACGAUUAUUUUGAUCAUGACAAAUGAAAAUGGCCGAAACGAUUCUUAGAAAUCAUAUCAUCUCUAUUGGAAAAGCUGAUAUUUGAGAGUUCGGAAUGGUUAUUAGGACUGGUAUCGAUUAUUCUAAUUAGCCGUCGAUAAAUUCGAUAGAUAUACCCAAAACAGCGUAGCUUUAAUGAUAGAUGUGGCAACAGAACAAAAAACUAGAACUUAUAUGGAGUGAAUGUGAGAGCAAUACCCUGGUCAUUCCUGAAACUUUUCGCUGAAAAAUAAUUGCAGUUACAUCCAAGUGUAAUCAUUCAUUGAAUGCCUCGCUCUCCCAUACCAACUCUUUUACCACCUCAGAUGGUACUUGCUCUUUAUCGUAUGGCAUAUAACCUGACACCAAUCGGUAAGCACUCCCUCCCGUCUCCCAGCAUAGUGCUGCUGGGUCACGGUUGUUAUAAGCGGGGUAACAUAAAAACGUUAAGGUUUUUCUUUGCCAUUAUACAUGCCCUGAUCUUACCUUCACAAUUUGCCAUAUAUAGCUUAUAGUUCGGUGUCCUCAGUCCGCAAAUGCGCCUCCAUUAACCCAUGGGGACAAACUCAGUCUGUUCUAUUGCCAGAUGGUUAAUUAGAGCUAUUGGAGCUAGUUUGCUGUGAUGGGGACUCAUUUGUAAAAGUCGCAUUAAUAACUGUUAUAUCUGCGUCUUCCUUAAAGCUGGGCUAUUUAAGGACCACCAGCCAAGUUGAUCCUCGUCACGGGUCUCAUGACACCUUGAUCCAGCCCUUGAUGUACCCGUUACCAUAGUAACACUCCCUAUCUGGGUGCUAUGCUAUUGAGGAGCAACCAACACCCAGGUAGGAAGUCUAACAUUAGCUAGAUACCUCACCACAUAAUGGGUGAACUGUUACCAGCUCGUUCCUGUCUGCGUUGUUGGGGGAUUUUCGCCGACCAAUUUGUAUUGUAAAUGAUUAUGGUUUAUAUUUUAACAAAAUUUUAAUGCUACAACUUUAUUACUCAUACAGAUGCGAUCAAAAUUAAGUGAACGUACAGACCAAGGAUAUUCUGCUUUAAUUAACAUUAUUAAAAGGCGUAACAAUGUCGGCAUUUAAAGUAACUGUAAAUCAAAUAGUCGAUUUACAGUUACUUUAAAUUCAUAAGGCAUAUUGUAUUUCAAUAGCAAAAACUUUCAGCAAAUCUUCAGCAGAUUAUAAAAAUAUUCAGCCGUGAAAAUCGAAUUGCUCUAAAGUUUUCCACAGGAAGGCCUGGAAUUACAUCAAAACGUGUUGUUUCUAGGAUUAUAAAUAUUUCUAAGUCGAAUAGGUUUUAUUCCGCACCGAAAAUUGAGACUCUGCUGGUUAUGGAAGAGAAAAGUUAACCGCAUUUUCCUACAGUUCAUAGACGCUUACACGAUGGGGAUAUGUACGGUAGGGUACCACGGAAAGUUCCUUAUAUAAACAAGGUCAACUUGGCAAAACGGAAGAAAUUUUAUGUCGUGAAACCAAAUAAUUUUUCAUCAAAAAUUUUUUGCUCGGACGAAUUAAUGAUUAGAUGAAGUAUAGUAGUCAAAUGUAUGUGUGGCGUAGAGUAGGCGAAGCAUUGACAUUCAAAUGUAUAAAACCUACACUUAAAGAAAACAAUAAGGGCCUCGUGGUAUGGGGCUGCACUUGUGCAAAUAGGUGGUACUUGAAGACAAAGUUAAUGCUUAAGUGUAUCUUUUAAUGAAAGAAGUCAAGUAUUUUAUCCUUCAACAAGACAACGCUUUUAUUCAUAAUGCCAAAAUUGUUAGUAAAUACCUUGAUAGAAACGUGAGGUUGCUGGAAUGGCCCUGAUAAAUCCCUUACCUUUCCCCUAUUGGAAAUUUAUGGGCGUGGUUAAAAACUAAGGUUAUUGAGAGAAAGUCUCGUAGUUUUUAUAAAUUAAAUGAUUUAAUUAUGGAAAUAUGGCCAACAUUUUCACCAGAAACGUGUGAAAAGUACAGGGUCCGGCACUCGGAAGUGUAACCAACUUCAGACCGCUCGCGUAGCUGACGCACGAGCAUCCGCUGUUUGUAAGUUAGCAAAAUGACAGCUUAGAAUAUUGUUUACAAGCACACGAAAGCAUUUUGCCGAAAGUGAACGCAAAAAAAAGGAAGUAGUAAUGGAUUUCAAACGUGUGAUUGCAUUAUAUUAAGCUAGAAAAUAACAACCAGCUAUUGUACGAGAGCUCAAACACCUAAGAGUGAAUACAGUUUUCGUUUAUCGCACCAUAACUCGAUAUAAUAAUACUUUUAGCAUCGUAAAACGCCAUGGUGGUGGUCAUCAAAAGACUGCAACGUCUUGUGAGAUGGUUAAAAAAGUGAAAAAGCGCCUUGAGCUAAAUCGCCGACGAAGUGCCAAUCAAAUGGCAAAAUAAUUGAAAAUAUUUGAUAGUAGCAUCCGCCGCAUACUGAAAAAUGAAGGUUAAGCCUUAUAAGAUUCAAAAGGCGCAUGAUCUCACACCCAAGCAGCAACAAGUCAGACUUCAGAGAGCAAAGGAUUUGCACCAGGAGGCAGCACCCGCCACAGGUAAUGGUUUGGACCGCUGUAAUCGCAGAUGGGCGCUCUGCAAUCGUUUUUCUGGCGUCAAGGUAAAUGCUCAAUAUUAUCGGGAAAGUAUUCUGGAAGCUGCUUUGAAGUCGUGGGCAGACAAACAUUUCGGUUGCAAACCGUGGACGUUCCAACAAGACGCGCCACCAUCUUAUAAAGCUCGAGUGAACUAAGAAUGGCUGAAAAACAACGUUCCGAACUUCAUAACGUCCACACAAUGGUUUUCGAAUUUAUCAGACGCUAAUCCGAUGGAUUAUUCUAUUUGGGCUAUUUUGGAGAGCAAGGUUCGAACUAAAAAAUACACCAGUCUCGAGGCGCUGAAGAAAGCCGUUGCCCGCGAGUGGGUCAAAAUACCUGGAAGUCACAUUCGGGCUGCUUGCGAUUCGUUUUUGGACUAUCUCAAGGCCAUAGUCAAGGCAAAAGGUGGUCAUAUCGAGCAAAAACAAAUUGUUUCCGAAUUUUGUGUUAUUGUCACACAUUUUUUGCGUUGAAAUGAUUAAUGCCGUUAUAAUUGGUUACACUUCGAGUUCCGGACCCUGUAUUGUCUUCGUUGCCGCAGCGCUUAAGCGCUUAUUUUAUA